rnacentral:rRNA from 1 species
UUGCCUACGGGAGGCAGCAGUGAGGAAUAUUGGUCAAUGGGCGGGAGCCUGAACCAGCCAAGUCGCGUGAAGGAAGAAGGUACUUAGUAUUGUAAACUUCUUUUGUCGGGGAACAAAGGCGGAGACGCGUCUCUGGAUGAGUGUACCCGAAGAAAAAGCAUCGGCUAACUCCGUGCCAGCAGCCGCGGUAAUACGGAGGAUGCGAGCGUUAUCCGGAUUUAUUGGGUUUAAAGGGUGCGCAGGCGGCACGGCAAGCCGGCGGUCAAAUCGCGGGGCUCAACCCCGCCCAGCCGUCGGAACUGCCG